rnacentral:misc_RNA from 1 species
AGGCAGUCCACCGGAGGGAGGGGGGGGUGGGCCAACCUUAAUAGGUACGGCUUCAGCGAGCACAGCUUGAACAAAAGACCCAGAAGAAAAACCAUCGGCAACAAGACCCAGUAGUGCCCAGCGGCUAGUUUCAGCCUCCGCCGCACAAGGCACCUGUUGUUGCUGGUGGGCUCUAAUAAUGAGACCAGGCCUGGAAAUAGCUAUCCUUGUGAUGUUGCUAGGCACGUUCAAUCAAGUUGAGCCAUUGAAUAGAAGACUGCCUUCAAGAACGGCCAUUGUUUGUGCCAUUUUUUUCCUCCCCCAAGUUUCAGAUUUCUUUUAAGAGUUUCAAAUGGUGGAAUGAAGGAGAUUUUGUGGAGCUAUAUUUUUUGUUAUGUAGAUUGGUCUGGGUCUGGGAAAGCACCUUAU